CCUCUGGUUUUUCAGCAAGGGUGAGUUUUGUUCUCAGAAGAUUAGAUUCAAAAGAGGUGAGAUGGUAGCAAGGGAUUAUUCUUUAUUUGGAUUUUAAUUGUUUUGAUGCUGCCUUUGGAGUAGUGAAGAUUAGCCAAAGACUUGGAGAUUGAAAAAUUGAGGAAAACCAGCUUUGCAGAGGAGCACUUGGCAGAGACUGUUGGUUUUCCUUGGACUCCUAAGAAUAAAAGAAGACAACAGCUACCUUACAGAUGACCAGUGCCUUGAGUUUCUUUAUGUCAUGUUUAUUAUCCAGAGUCUUGAAUUCUUCCAUGUAUCAAUCUCCGAACAGAUGAGACAAAGCCUGCUGCUGCUGCUGCUGCUAAGUUGCUUCAGUUGUGUCCGACUCUGU
rnacentral:lncRNA from 1 species